rnacentral:rRNA from 1 species
GACGAACGCUGGCGGCGUGCCUAACACAUGCAAGUCGAGCGGGGUUGAAGCGAGAGGUAACUCGAACUUCUACCUAGCGGCGGACGGGUGAGUAACGCGUGGGCAACCUGCCUCAAGGUCUGGGGUAACAGCCCGAAAGGGCUGCUAAUACUGGGUAUGCUUGUGGCCUCGCAUGGGGCUAUGAGCAAAGGGGAAACCCGCCUUGAGAUGGGCCCGCGUCCCAUCAGCUAGUUGGUGAGGUAACAGCUCACCAAGGCGACGACGGGUAGCCGGCCUGAGAGGGUGACCGGCCACACUGGGACUGAGACACGGCCCAGACUCCUACGGGGGGCAGCAGUGGGGGAUCUUGCACAAUGGGCGAAAGCCUGAUGCAGCGACGCCGCGUGAGCGAAGAAGGCCUUCGGGUUGUAAAGCUCUGUCUGGAGGGACGAAGGAAGUGACGGUACCUCCGGAGGAAGCCACGGCUAACUACGUG